UACGUAGGGGGCUAGCGUUGUCCGGAAUCAUUGGGCGUAAAGAGCGCGUAGGCGGCCAGAUAAGUCCGGUGUGAAAGUCACAGGCUCAACCUGUGAAUGCCGCUGGAAACUGUCUGGCUAGAGUCCGGAAGGGGCGAGUGGAAUUCCUGGUGUAGCGGUGAAAUGCGCAGAUAUCAGGAGGAACACCAAUGGCGAAGGCAGCUCGCUGGGACGGUACUGACGCUGAGGCGCGAAAGCUAGGGGAGCAAACGGG
rnacentral:rRNA from 1 species